UGAAAGSUWRSUKACAGGGCUUAAMACAUGCAAAGUCGAGGGGCAGCAUGGCGAUAGCUUGCUAUYGUSGAUGGCGACCGGCGCACGGGUGAGUAACGCGUUAUCCCAACCUUCCCCUUAGUAGGGCAUAGCCCGUAGAAAUGCGGAUUAAUACCCUAUGUAGUUCGUAGAGGGCGUCUGAAGUGAACCAAAGGUUUACCGCUAAGGGAUGGGGAUGCGUCUGAUUAGGCCGCAGGCGGGGUAACGGCCCACCUGGCYUACGAUCAGUAGGGGUUCUGAGAGGAAGGUCCCCCACAUUGGAACUGAGACACGGUCCAAACUCCUACGGGAGGCAGCAGUGAGGAAUAUUGGUCAAUGGACGARAGUCUGAACCAGCCAAGUAGCGUGCAGGAUGACGGSCCUAUGGGUUGUWAACUGCUUUUAUGCGGGGAUAAAKUCSGCUACKUGUAGCCGUUUGUAGGUWCCGCAUGAAUAAGGACCGGGUAAUUCCNUNCAG
rnacentral:rRNA from 1 species